rnacentral:rRNA from 1 species
GGGGAAUAUUGGACAAUGGGGGGAACCCUGAUCCAGCAAUGCCGCGUGUGUGAAGAAGGCCUGAGGGUUGUAAAGCACUAUCAGUGGGGAGGAGUAUUGAUUGGUUAAGAGCUGAUUAAUUGGACGUUACCCACAGAAGAAGCACCGGCUAACUCCGUGCCAGCAGCCGCGGUAAUACGGAGGGUGCGAGCGUUAAUCGGAAUUACUGGGCGUAAAGAGUGCGUAGGUUGUUGAAUAAGUUAUCUGUGAAAUUCCUGGGCUUAACCUAGGCAUGUCAGAUAAAACUGUUUGACUCGAGUAUGGGAGAGGGCAGUGGAAUUUCCGGUGUAGCGGUGAAAUGCGUAGAUAUCGGAAGGAACACCAGUGGCGAAGGCGACUGCCUGGCCUGUGACUGACACUGAGGCACGAAAGCGUGGGGAGCAAAC